UGGGCAUAGACCGUUCGCUAGAUGUCUUGUCUGUGGCAGUUAUUUACAUUGUAGGUAAUGGAACCACAACAGACAGAAGAGGGAGACUCACAAGCGGAAUGGUGAAUAUUUAUCUGUUAAACACUAGAGAACAAGAGUUUUGGUUGGUAUAAAUGGUCAAUUAGGCCUUGUCUGUGUCAGGUUUUUCUUUUUCAGGUAAUGGAGAGAGAGCAGAAGAAGGACAUUUAGAAGGGGAACGGUAGAGAUAUACUUGAAGACCUGGAGCUCAGGAAGCAGGUAGAACUGAUUGAACAGACUGAACAAUGGAGUUAGAGUCCAAAGAAGUGUAUUAGGAAUAUUUAAAUACUUGAUAUUUUUCUCUUUGGCAGAUUGGCCAAAGGAAACAGGAAAACACACAAAUUGAUGCAUGGAUGGAUGUCCUUCCAAGAGGAAGGAGGUGGUGGUGGGCAUAGAUUGUUAGAUGUCUUCUCUGUGGCUGUUAUUUACAUUGUAGGUAAUGGAACCACAACAGAUAGAAGAGGGAGACUCACAAGCGGAAUGGUGAAUAUUUAUUUGAAAAAGACUGGAGAACAUUUGGUUUAUUGCUGGAGAUCAGUCAGCCAAUCGAGCUCUGUUAGUCUUGUUUUUGUUUUUUGCAGAUUAGACUGGGGCAUGUGGAGAAAUGGAAAUCACACCUCAGGAAUGACUGGAAAUUGAUGGUCAGGAACUUGUUUUAAAAAUCAGAUCAACAGGUGCAUGGAUGAACGUCCUUCCAAGAUACAAGAUUGGUGGUUGGUAUAGAUUGUUAAAUAGGCCUUGUCUGUGUCAGGUUUUUCUUUUUCAGGUAAUGGAGAUAGAGCAGGCAGAAGAGGAGCCGGUAGGGUUUAGUUGGGGCUGUCUUUUUCUUUUGCAGGUUGAAGUGGAGCAGAAAGAGACUCACAAGGGGAAAGGUGGAGACAUACUUGAAGACAUGGAGCUCAGGAAGCAGGUACAACUGAUCGAACAGGCUGAAUAAUGGAGUUAGUUUCCAAAAAAGUGAAUUAAGAAUAAUUAAAUACUGGAUAUCUUUCUCUUUGGCAGAUUGGCAUGGAGCAUGUGGAGAAACAGGGAAACACACGGAUGGGUGCAUGGGUGGAUGUCUCUCCAAGUGGAAGGGGGUUGCGGUGGGCAUAGAUUGUUCGCUAGAUGUCUUGUCUGUAGUAGUUACAUUGUAGGUAAUGGAACCACAACAGACAGAAGAGGGAGACUCACAAGCGGAAUGGUGAAUAUUUGUCUGUUAAACACUAGAGAACAAGAGUUGUCAUUGGUAUAAAUGGUCAUUUAGGCCUUGUCUUUGUCAGGUUUUUCUUUUUCAGUUAAUGGAGAGAGAGCAGAAGAAGGAGAUUCACAAGGGGAACGGUAGAGAUAUACUUGAAGACCUGGAGCUCAGGAAGCAGGUAGAACUGAUUGAACAGAAUGAACAAUGGAGUUAGAGUCCAAACAAAUGUAUUAGGAAUAUUUAAAUACUUGAUAUCUUUCUCUUUGGCAGAUUGGUCAAAGGAAACAGGGAAACACACAAAUUGGUGCAUGGAUGGAUGUCCUUCCAAGAGGAAGGGGGUGGUGGUGGGCAUAGAUUGUUAGAUGUCUUCUCUGUGGCUGUUAUUUACAUUGUAGGUAAUGGAACCACAACAGAUAGAAGAGGGAGACUCACAAGCGGAAUGGUGAAUAUUUAUCUGAAGAACACUGGAGAACAUUUGGUUUAUUGUUGGAGAUCAGCCAGCAAGUAGAACUCUGUUAGUCUUGUUUUGUCUUUUGCAGAUUAGUAUGGGGCAUGUGGAGAAAUGGGAAUCACACCUCAGGAAUGACUGGAAAUUGAUGGUCAGGAAUUUGUUGUAAAAAUCAGAUCAACAGGUGCAUGGAUGAACGUCCUUCCAAGAUACAAGAGUGGUGAUUGGCAUGGAUCGUGGAGAAACAGGGAAACACACGGAUGGGUGCAUGGAUGGAUGUCCUUCCAAGAGGAAGGGGAUGGUGGUGGGCAUAGAUUACAGUGAAAUAUACUUGAAGACCUGGAGCUCAGGAAGCAGGUAGAACUGAUUGAACAGACUGAACAAUGGAGUAAGAGUCCAAAGAAAUGUAUUAGGAAUAUUUAAAUACUUGAUAUCUUUCUCUUUGGCAGAUUGGUCAAAGGAAACA